GCAGAAUCUACGGUUUCGUGCUUAUGCAAGUAUCAAGAAUUCGACGAUACAACAUUUUCGAAGUGGCCUGAGAUCGCUGAUUGUCUCCUGUGUACAGCAUCAGUUUCUUCAUUCACAUAUAGGAAAAGUUUUGGUAGUGCAGCAAAUUCAGAUGAGUUGUUCUUUCCUGUCCCUUGGUUCAUUUGAGUUUUUUGUCAUUUGUCUUACAUUUGUAAAUCAGGCAGCAAAGAAGGGGUGUUAUAGUUGAUUGUCAUUGUUGAAAUAUAUCUUCUUUUGUCAUUUGAUUGAAUUGAAAAGAGUUGUUAGUACAG
rnacentral:misc_RNA from 1 species